rnacentral:tRNA from 1 species
GCCGGAGUGGUGAAAUUGGUAGACGCGCGGGACUCAAAAUCCCGUGGAAGCGAUUCCGUGUCGGUUCGAUCCCGACCUCCGGCACCA